AGUGAACGCUGGCGGUAGGCCUAACACAUGCAAGUCGAACGGCAGCACAGUAAGAGCUUGCUCUUACGGGUGGCGAGUGGCGGACGGGUGAGGAAUACAUCGGAAUCUACUUUUUCGUGGGGGAUAACGUAGGGAAACUUACGCUAAUACCGCAUACGACCUACGGGUGAAAGCGGGGGAUCUUCGGACCUUGCGCGAUUGAAUGAGCCGAUGUCGGAUUAGCUAGUUGGCGGGGUAAAGGCCCACCAAGGCGACGAUCCGUAGCUGGUCUGAGAGGAUGAUCAGCCACACUGGAACUGAGACACGGUCCAGACUCCUACGGGAGGCAGCAGUGGGGAAUAUUGGACAAAGGGCGCAAGCCUGAUCCAGCCAUACCGCGUGGGUGAAGAAGGCCUUCGGGUCGUAAAGCCCUUUUGUUGGGAAAGAAAAGCAGCAGGUUAAUACCCCGCUGUUCUGACGGUACCCAAAGAAUAAGCACCGGCUAACUUCGUG
rnacentral:rRNA from 1 species